CAAUACAGGAUUCUCAAUAUGUUUGUUGAAGACAGUCCUGUUCAGCUUGGGUCUGAUCAUCAUGAUCUCUGCUGUCAUUGGAGUCCAUGUCAGGGAGAUCCUGAGGGACAGAUCAACUAGAGAAGUAAAGAGCAGAUGAAGAAAAACUUAUGGGAAGCACUAUAUAACUUUUCUAAGAAUUAUUUUUAAUUAGACACAUUAGUCUGCUUUAGAGAGGGAACACUGGACAGAAUUUGAGAAAACCCUUUUGUGGCCACAUGUUUCAUGUUAAAAAAAAGCCUUAUCCUGCCAUCUUCAUAAUCCUAUUCAAUCAGCUGUGAUUGAAUUAUUAUAUAAAUUCUAGCAAAUUGCAAUGCAUUUUCUCAAAGGCAACACUUUUUCAAACCUUUUGCAGUACUGUUUAACUGGCUCAUAUGUAUUGCAUAUGUAUUCUGAUACUGUCUUAGCCUUUCGACUCAAUGCAUUAAACCUCUCAAAGAUUAUAAACUAUUUUGAAUAAGGAGCCAUUAUUGCCUACAGUAUAUACUGCAUGCAUGGAAAUAGAAAUAAAGAGGCCAAAUACCUCUAAAAGUCCUUAACUUUCAUGUGUACUGUAAGAAGUUUAUUUUCCUUUAAACUUCCAUGCUGAACUUUCAAAUAUUUAGUACAUAAGACAAAAAUGAAUAUUUGUAAAUUUUAUGUCCACACAUAGUGACUUUAGUAGCAUGUCAUAUAGAAACUGGUCAAGCCAUUUUCCUUUGUGUUAUUUUCCUUAACUGUAUGCAAAAGUCGAACUACAUUAAUUUGAGCUGGUUAAUGUGUUUAGUCAUAAAAAGUAGUUCUCCCAUUAUCACAAAUGUUCUAUUACUGUUUUUAUUAAGCUUGUUUUAAAAAGGCCUUAGAUGAAAAACAUUAAACUACUUUUGAAGUACAACUACUUUUUAAACGAAUGUUCUGAAAAACUAUUUAAUCAAUUGUAUUGUCUAUUGUAACAUCUUUUUAUUGCAUUAAAAAGAAGUGUUAAAAAGCU